ACUUUGCUCGAAACCUUCUCCGCCUCUCUUCGCGACUUCUCCCCCGAAACCCUUCCCUAUCACCCUUCGCGACUUCUCCCCCCAAAACCCUUCCCCGUUGCCCUUGUCAACCACUCCUCCUUAUCCUCGGCUCCUUCUCCUCAUACAACCUCCUCUCAUUUUCGCUGAGAGAUCCUCUCCUCCUCCGGCCCUUCCUCUGUUGAGCGCGCCCUCGACAACGCUAGCAUCUAGGUCUCCGCACUUUUGCUUUUCUUUUAUCAAUUUUAUUCUUUGAAAAAAUAUCAUGGUCAUGCGUUGGUUGGGGUUUUGCCUGAGUCUGUUGUUCUAUCGCCAUUAUGACGGCCACCAAGGAAUCAUCUCUAUCCUCACUUACUUCCCACGUCUGCCUUCAAUGAUCAUUUCAUUCUACCUUCUAAUGUUUUUUCACUCAGGGUUCCUUCCACUGCUCGGAUGACUCUGUGUUUCGCUUUGAUCCCAAGAAAAAAAGUGAUAGGUGCCUUAAAGAUUGGAUUUUUAGCAACAAAAACACAAGUUUUAACUACGACUUUUGGUCAUUUGAUGAUAGUAUGCAGGAUCACGUAGCGAUGACUAUUACCAUUGAAGCCCAGUUUAACUCUCUAGAACUUAUCUGAAGGGCAUUGUUUGGCGACGUCUUCAAAGGGUUUAACAAGGAGAUGAGCAAAGAGGUUGCAAGGAGGAUGAUAUUGUAGAUAUUCAAAAGGUUAGUUUUAAUUGUUCUUCUAAAUUACUACUAUUUCUAAUAAAAAGCAUGCCUUGUAGGAAAUAUCAGUUGUGUCCAAAUCACCAUACAUUACUCACUACGAUAGUUCUUAUUUCAACCAAACAAAACUAUGGAUCAUUUGAAAUAAUGACCAGUGGUUUGGUUGCCAAUCUGGUGAGUUCGAUCAUACAAUUUCUUCUUUAAUUGUAGCUCAUGACACUCAUAAUUAUGGGGUUGCAACCAUUUACUAUGUUUUUGCUCUUUCAAAAGAAUGCAUUUAUUCCAUAUUUAUAAUUCAUAACAAUUAUAAUUCUAAGUUUUUAGAUUUUCUUUAGUACAAGACAGAAACUUACAUUGUUUGUGUAUAUAUUUUCUUAAGUAACUAUAGAAAUCUAAAAUUUUAAGUAGUAUAUUCAAGAUUGUGUAAAAUGUUCUCUUAGCUUCAACCCGGUCACCCUUUGAAUGAAAUCUCUAUCAUUUACAUUUUGUGAGACUUGAUGCAUGCAAUCGAGUAUCUACAUGGCGAAGGAAAGAUUCACUGAGAUAUAAAAGGUAAUGCUUUCAUUGUUCCUCCGCUGAUGUUCAUGUAACAAUGCCUCAAGUUUCAGCUAGUAUUUAAGAUUUUGAUGUUCUGCAGCUGCAAACAUUCUUCUAACUAAAAAAAGGAGAUGUUAAGGUUGUUGGUGCAAUCGACCUAGGAUUGAUCAGGGUCGAUCAUUGUUUUGAUGUGUGUAUCAAAAAGUUUAAGUUAAGUUUCAUAUUAGUUUGAUAUGUGUUUGAGUCAUGCAGGACUUGGUGAAACACACAUGAGGAGUUUGAUGCGGCUAAGGUUGGGAAGCUCAUUGUAUGGUUCGGAUCCAUGAGAUCGGUGAAGGAUGGUGCAUCCGAGGGACCGCGGACAAGGAGCAAUGGAGUGAAGUCGAAGGAAGUAGACUUCAAGGCAACGCUAAGGAUGGCACGAAGAGGAGUCGCAGGCUCGGGUGCAUCUGAGGGAAGAAGGCCGAGGAAGAGGGCUUCAAGGGCGACUCCGGAGAGGAUGAGUGUUGAGUGUGUAACCGAACCAGUCGACUGCUAGAAGUGACAGUCGACUGGUCCAAUCGACUAUGCAGUCGACUGGGAGCGAACAAAAGUAUUCUGUUCACUUAGCCAACAAUGACCAGUCGACUGAUAUUUUACCAGUCGACUGGUAAGUAGUCGUUGGUAAACCGUUGACACUGCAAAGUAGCCGUUGGCUACCUCCAACGGUAGCACCAGUCAACUGAUGGAAGUGCCAGUCGACUGUUGCCGAGAUGAGUUGAUAUGAUGAUCAACUCUCUUCUCUUAUUUAUAGGAAGGUUUGAGGCAUGAAGAAGGUUACUGAUACUUGUUGAAGAACUCCUUAGUCAUUGCUCAAAGCUUCCAAAGCACACUCUCUUCCUCCCAAGCCUAAACUUCAUCUUGUAAAGAGGAAGAGGUCUUUUGUGAGAGGUUUGCUCCACCGAGAAGGAGAAAGCUCUAGUCGGAGAUUAUCGAGGAUUGAUCCACUGAAGGAUUAAGGGUUCGUCCACCUCAAGGACACGCCGUGGAUUAGGAGCAAGCAAUCUCCGAACCACGUAGAGGAAUCGUGUUAGUGUUUGCAUUCUUGUUUGCCUUCAUUGCUUUAGUUUUUGUAUUUCUACUUGUGCACUAACGUUUUGUAGAGAAGCAAUCGAAUUGGGGGGUGACCUAGCUAUUCAACCCUCCUUUUAACCGGCCACCGAGCCCCUACAAAGGUAUGUUUUUUGAUUUUGUUCUAUUCCUUCACAUGUAAAUCUGGAUAUGCUACAAGUGCAAGUAUCAUGUUUCUAAAUUAGUUUAUAGAUUUUGGUGUUUCUGCACAAGUAUCAUAGACAAUUUCUAGAAGGCUAGCAAAUGCAUGAGAUUAUGAUCACUGCGAAGGAGAGUUCCAUUGGAGGUUUCAGUCCUAGAGUGGUUUUUUUGAUAAGAAGCUCAAUGUAAAUUCUUUUCAACAAAUUUCCAGGUAAGAAGCUUAAGGUAAACUCUUGAUAAGAAGCUCAAGGUAAACUCUUGCCAAGUUUUCAUUACAGGCAAGGUUAAUGGUUUUGACGGAUACAUCAACCAUGGGUCACCUAUGCACCAAACUGAUGUGCUGGACUUACUAGAACUGGAAGUCAGUGAAAUUGUGUCAAUAUGCACUUUCUAUUGUGGCUGGCCAAACAUAUUCAAUAGGUUUUUAACUUGCAUAUAUGUGUUAGUGUAAUGAAAUACUUAUAAUAUGUUCUGUACAAUCACUAUCAGUUAAUGAGUAAUACCUUGUUUUCAUCAUUA